AACGCUGAAGGUCAGAGGA
rnacentral:snRNA from 1 species